GACGAACGCUGGCGGCGUGCCUAAUACAUGCAAGUCGAACGCUUCUUUUUCACCGAACUUCGGUUCAUCGAAAAAGAGGAGUGGCGAACGGGUGAGUAACACGUGGGUAACCUGCCCAUCAGAAGGGGAUAACACUUGGAAACAGGUGCUAAUACCGUAUAAUGCUUUUUCUCGCAUGAGAGCAAGCUGAAAGGCGCUUUUGCGUCACUGAUGGAUGGACCCGCGGUGCAUUAGCUAGUUGGUGAGGUAACGGCUCACCAAGGCCACGAUGCAUAGCCGACCUGAGAGGGUGAUCGGCCACACUGGGACUGAGACACGGCCCAGACUCCUACGGGAGGCAGCAGUAGGGAAUCUUCGGCAAUGGACGAAAGUCUGACCGAGCAACGCCGCGUGAGUGAAGAAGGUUUUCGGAUCGUAAAACUCUGUUGUUAGAGAAGAACAAGGAUGAGAGUAAAAUGUUCAUCCCUUGAC
rnacentral:rRNA from 1 species